UGCUGAGGCAGCCGGCGUGGGUGGUGGGCGGAGCUGCUCCGCGGCGAGCGGCGAGCGGACGCUCCGGUGCGUGUUCAACGACGCGAUGCUCAGGGACACCAUGACGUCAUUGCUCGUGCCCUGCUAUGACCUCGCCACGGCCGUGCCCUCCGACGCAGCAUUGGCCAGGCGUCACGGUGCCCAUAUCUCAGAUUAGGAGAGGUUCUUCAAUUCCAAGGUGUGCUUGCCAAGUGGACAGCCACUGCCACCGUUGUUUGACUUUUCAGCAGCUGCAACGUCAAUUCCACCACUGCACCACAAUGUUACUUCCUCUUCUGAAACUGUGAAGGUAGCAAUCGGAUACUUUGCUUUGUAGUAUGCAGUUUGUGAAUGCUGGGAGCAUGAUUAUAUAAUUUGUGUUUCAUCUUGCUGCAAAUAUUAGAUGAUUUAAUGUUUUCAUCUACUAAAGUUUACGGAAAUACAUGUAUUAAAGUGUAUGGCAAUUCAUUGAGGAUUCAUAAACUGACCUGCCAUGUUUGACUGGCUCUGCAGGUUAUGGCUACUCGGUUCUAAGUUCGUUGCCUUUCUAGUUUUGGUUUACAUAGCUAAUGGUUCGUUAGUUGGUUGCCUUCGUAAUUUGCGUUGUUUAAUAUGCCCGAGUGGAGUUUAAGGCACCAGUGGUCAUGGUUGGGUGCAAGGUGAACCUGCUAGACAGGCAGGAGUUUAACCUUGAACAUAUCGUGGUACCCCUCAGGCAGAGAUUGAAACCUGAAUUGGCUGGAUAAUUAUAGCCUCAAAUACUUACUAUUGAUGAUAUCAGAACCUGAGCUCGAUAUUCUGUUUUACCCAAUAUCUAGGCAUUUUACAAAAAGGCUCUCUUUCUAAAUUGGUGACAGUUAGGUGGUUUCAACAAGUACUAAAUCAAUUCGUUAUCUAAAAGAUGAUCUCUCCACUGCUACUUCAACUUGGGGCUGCAGAAGUAAGCUAUUCUUCCAUCUUUAUUCUGCACUUUAUUGUAUUACCCGUAUUUAGAGCUUUUAUAUGCCUUGUAUUGAGUGAGCCUGAGAUCGUAACCAUUUUCCAGCUUAGAAAUUGUUCAAAUUAUGUAUACAUGGUAUGCUUCUCUGUACUUUAACCUAAAAUAGGCCAUAGAGAUCAGCCAUGACCUGUAUGGUAGAACUCUUGGAUUUGUGUAUAGGAAAAAAAUGUUCUUGCAGUGUCUUUUAUCUUUCGAUUUUAAAGCUUUAACUCAUGCAGUAUCUGAAUUGGUAGUAUCAUAGCCACCUUUAUGAAUUAGAGAAGGAGAAUUUGCCUUUGCAGCUUGCCCUUUGAUUUGAUGCAGUAACUGUACCGUGAAAUUUAUUGUUUUGUCCUUGCAUUGGAAGAAUAUAGUAAUGAUAUUUGUCUUUUAUUUUAUUUGGAUUUCUAGGAUUUUAGUAGUACAUAUUUUGCAACAAUAGCUUCUUUUGUUCUUUGCAGACCAUAGAUGUUUCACAAUGAUCUGUCAGUGAAAAGAUUUGUGGCCUUCGGUAUUGCUAAUUAAGGACAGUAUGUCUGAGAAACAAGUAAAAAUAACAAGGCUCAGAAGCAUGAUUAUCCUUUAUUUAGCUUAUUUCUCUGCUAAAAAUGUUCACUUGCAUUUACUAAGUUCUUGGCGAUCAGGAAUAACCAUGAAGAAAAACCAGACCACCUUAUUGACAAGCUGAUCAGCAGCCACAGGCAUGGAAGGGACUAUCAGACCAUCAAGCCGACUCAGAACAGCUUGAACAGCUUGGCUUUGCUUGUAGUUAAGUACAGUACGGGCAGAAACACAUUUGAUCUUAAAUCGCUGAUGGAAACCAUUUCUACUCCAAAUCAAUUGGACACUACGCAUUGGUGAUGGAAGCCUCUAGCAAACAUCAUUGCCCAGCACCAGUUGCUUCGCUGUUCUGUGGUGGUUUGAAGGAUGUUUGCCGGUUAUCUCUGCCCGAGGGCCCUGCACUAACAUUGCUAAUCAUGCCGCGAUGUCAACUCCACCUAACACAAGAUGUUGCUCGUCUAGGGCUGCAUCGGCCACAAUGCCUGAGAAGCACCUCUAGGAUAUGAUUGCAUCAGCCACAAGUGUUGACACAAAAUCGCCUAAUUGAGGACACUGACCAUGAGGGGCUCACGGCUGAGGUAUUUGGUUGGAGCAGACAUUAUCGUCUUGGAACAAAUGGCCUGUCUAGCAUUGUACCCAAAUCAUAAAAUCUGGAAACUAUUUUUUCUUCUGAAACAAAUUUUUUAUUCCCGAACAAAUUUUUUGUAUUGCUGGAACAAUUAAAAAAUUAUUUCGAAACAAUUUUUUUGUUCUGAAACAAA